rnacentral:lncRNA from 1 species
UAAUCCCAUUUUAUAUUUGUGUAAACUGAGGCUGAGAAACAGUAAAAAGUGACAUGCCCAGAGUCACAAAGCUAGCAGUCUAUGAGCUAAAGUCUAUGAGGUGGAGAGCUCUGUUUAAAAAUUGGCUUUCACUUGUUGAUAUAUUCCUUGCAUGGCUUCAAUAAAAAUGUAAACCAGGGACUUUUUGUUGAUUCUAAGGCUAUUUAGUGGGUAUUACACAGUGACUUGCUAGUACUGAAAAAUCCAAGUGUCUGGUAAAUGUCCAGAGCUUUGGUACAGAUCCUAAAUGAAGCCAGUAAAAGGAGAAAGAGCUGCAGUUUCUCUAGAGGAAACACGAGACUUUCCAGGACUUUGUACAAAUCUACUUCCUUGACUCCUGUCUAGCCUGAUGGCAUGAUACAGCGCAGAUAGAUACAGAACGUUCCGCCACUUCCAAAACACGAAUAGAAAGUACCAAGUUUAUACCUACAGAGAAGGAUCGAUUCUGCUUGGGACGGGAUGCGUUUGGUCGAAGAUCAGAUGGUAACAUAGUAGAAGCCUGUGACUGCUGAAUGGGACAGGCAUGACUCUUCCCCAAAUGAGCUCUCCUUCUCCUCUUCAGUCUUCCAUGCUUGCAAAGGACAACUGGAGGUGCACUGGUGAACAGAACCAAAGUGUCUUCUUACUAUCCCCCUUAUACAGUCCUGCAUAUUCAACUCCUAAACCUGAAAACAGAAUCAACAAAGGGAGGACAAUUUGUGUAUGGAUAUUGCUAUUUCCCAGCCUGCCUGCCUGUCUGACUCCUUUUCCCACUGGAUACUCAGUUAUAAAGAAUUAAGAGCCGAAUGGAGUUUUAAAGAUCAUCUAGCCUUCAAAAAUGUAAAUUGACAGAAUAUUAACAACAGAAACAAAACUGAAUAUGUGUGUAAUUAUAAUGAUGAAGUGGGUCCACAAAGGAGAGAUGACAAAGUGCACUCCACUGCCUUCUUCCC